rnacentral:rRNA from 1 species
UACGUAGGGGGCAAGCGUUGUCCGGAAUCAUUGGGCGUAAAGAGCGCGUAGGCGGCCCGAUAAGUCCGCUGUGAAAGUCAAGGGCUCAACCCUUGAAUGCCGGUGGAUACUGUCGGGCUAGAGUCCGGAAGAGGCGAGUGGAAUUCCUGGUGUAGCGGUGAAAUGCGCAGAUAUCAGGAGGAACACCAAUGGCGAAGGCAGCUUACUACGCAGAUAUUGACGCUCAUGCACGAAAGCGUGGGGAUCAAACAGG